rnacentral:rRNA from 1 species
UACGUAUGGUGCAAGCGUUAUCCGGAUUUACUGGGUGUAAAGGGAGCGUAGGCGGCGCGUUAAGUCUGAUGUGAAAACCCGAGGCUCAACCACGGGAGUGCAUUGGAAACUGGCGGGCUGGAGUGCCGGAGAGGUAAGCGGAAUUCCUAGUGUAGCGGUGAAAUGCGUAGAUAUUAGGAGGAACACCAGUGGCGAAGGCGGCCUGCUGGACGGUGACUGACGCUGAGGCUCGAAAGCGUGGGGAGCAAACAGG